UACGUAGGGGGCAAGCGUUGUCCGGAAUCAUUGGGCGUAAAGCGCGUGUAGGCGGCUUGGUAAGUCUGCUCUGAAAGCCCGGGGCUCAACCCCGGGAGGCGGGUGGAUACUGUCAAGCUCGAGUCCGGAAGAGGAGUGUGGAAUUCCUGGUGUAGCGGUGAAAUGCGUAGAGAUCGGGAGGAACACCUGUGGCGAAGGCGGCCGGCUGGGGGUGCCCUGACGCUGAGGCGCGAAAGCGUGGGGAGCGAACCGG
rnacentral:rRNA from 1 species